rnacentral:ncRNA from 1 species
UUCGGUUCCGGGGAGUCCUCCGGAAGCAAUAGGGAAUGCAGUGCGGCCACCUUGGCCAAUUCUGCAACUGCCCCCGCAACUGUAAGCGGCGAGCACAGCUGAUCAUGCCACUGGGGAGACCCGGGAAGGCUCAGCGCCGUGCUGCGACCCGCGAGUCAGGAGACCUGCCGGACA